ACCUCUACAGCCGCAGCCACAACUGAUGC
rnacentral:sRNA from 1 species